CCUACGGGUGGCAGCAGUGGGGAAUAUUGGGCAAUGGGCGAAAGCCUGACCCAGCAACGCCGCGUGAAGGAAGAAGGCUUUCGGGUUGUAAACUUCUUUUGACAGGGAAGAGCAGAAGACGGUACCUGUCGAAUAAGCCACGGCUAACUACGUGCCAGCAGCCGCGGUAAUACGUAGGUGGCAAGCGUUGUCCUGAUUUACUGGGUGUAAAGGGCCUGUAGCCGGGCUGACAAGUCAGAUGUGAAAUCCGGGGGCUCAACCCCCGAACUGCAUUGGAAACUGGUGGUCUUGAGUAUCGGAGAGGCAGGCGGAAUUCCAAGUGUAGCGGUGAAAUGCGUAGAUAUUAGGAGGAACACCAGUGGCGAAGGCAGCCUGCUGGACGACAACUGACGGUGAGGCGCGAAAGCGUGGGGAGCAAACAGGAUUAGAUACCCCAGUAGUC
rnacentral:rRNA from 1 species